GUGAAGAACGUAGUGAAAUGCGAUACUUGGUGUGAAUUGCAGAAUCCCGUGAACCAUCGAGUCUUUGAACGCAAGUUGCGCCCGAAGCCAUUAGGCCGAGGGCACGCCUGCCUGGGUGUCACACGUCGUUGCCCCCCCAUCUACUCCUUCGGGAUUGCGGGGGGCGGAUGAUGGCCUCCCGUGCGCCUCGUCGCGCGGUUGGCAUAAAUGCCAAGUCCUCGGCGACGCACGCCACGACAAUCGGUGGUUGCGAAACCUCGGUUGCCCGUCGUGUGCGGUCGUCGCGCAUCGAGGGCUCGAAAAAAUUGCCGGGCUCCGGCUCGGCUUUCAACGCGACCCCAGGUCAGGCGGGGUUACCCGCUGAAUUUAAGCAUAUCAAUAAGCGGAGGA
rnacentral:misc_RNA from 1 species